UACGGGGGGGGGGCAAGCGUUGUUCGGAAUUACUGGGCGUAAAGGGCCAGUAGGCGGCCAACUAAGUCGGAUGUGAAAUCCCCAGGCUCAACUUGGGAACUGCAUCCGAUACUGGAUGGCUUGAAUUCGGGAGAGGGAUGCAGAAUUCCAGGUGUAGCAGUGAAAUGCGUAGAUAUCGAGAGGAACACCAGUGGCGAAGGCGAGUCCCUGGACACUUCCUGACACUGAGGCACGAAAGCUAGGGGAGCAAACAGG
rnacentral:rRNA from 1 species